rnacentral:lncRNA from 1 species
GGAGACAGUAUGCGCUCUCCACUGAUUGGGUGUCUCCACUUGGCCUGACUCAUCCCUGCAUUCAGGGCUCUGUUACCUCCACCUGACCUGACCCGCCCUUGUAUUGGGGCUCUGUUAUCAGGGACUGGUUGACCAUAUUUUACUGGUUUCCCAGACUUGCUUUUAAAAGUUUUAAUUUUCUGAUCCUUUUGAGCUACGUCUGGACCUGAAUGAAAGGACUGAGUAUCACCCAAGAAGCGU